rnacentral:rRNA from 1 species
ACGUUUGAGACUAAGACGUUGAUAGGCUGGGUGUGUAAGCGCAGCGAUGCGUUGAGCUGACCAGUACUAAUGAACCGGGAGGCUUAACCUG